GAUGAACGCUAGCUACAGGCUUAACACAUGCAAGUCGAGGGGAAACGACAUCGAAAGCUUGCUUUUGAUGGGCGUCGACCGGCGCACGGGUGAGUAACGCGUAUCCAACCUGCCCAUCACUUGGGAAUAACCUUGCGAAAGUAAGACUAAUACCCAAUGACAUCCCACGAAGACAUCUGAAUGGGAUUAAAGAUUUAUCGGUGAUGGAUGGGGAUGCGUCUGAUUAGCUUGUUGGCGGGGUAACGGCCCACCAAGGCAACGAUCAGUAGGGGUUCUGAGAGGAAGGUCCCCCACAUUGGAACUGAGACACGGUCCAAACUCCUACGGGAGGCAGCAGUGAGGAAUAUUGGUCAAUGGGCGAGAGCCUGAACCAGCCAAGUAGCGUGCAGGAUGACGGCCCUAUGGGUUGUAAACUGCUCUUAUAAGGGAAUAAAGUGGGUAUCGUGAGACUUUUUGCAUGUACCUUAUGAAUAAGGACCGGCUAAUUCCGUG
rnacentral:rRNA from 1 species